rnacentral:misc_RNA from 1 species
UGGGAGUUGGUUUUACCUGAAGACGGUGCGCUAACCCGCAAGGGAGGCAGCCGGCCACGGUAGGGUCAGCGACUGGGGUGAAGUCGUAACAAGGUAGCCGUAGGGGAACCUGCGGCUGGAUCACCUCCUUUCUAAGGAUGAUCCUUCAGCGAGCUCACGCUCACUAUCGGAUCGUUUUAGAAACAUCAGUGGCCAACAGAUCGCCAGAUCGUUGAGCUGCAUUGGCGGGAUUUCGCCGUCUUCGUUUCUCUUUCUUCGCGGACGAACACGCGCUGGGCCUGCAUCAAGCAGGAUCCCACGGUCCCUGACGGGAUAUGCGUUAGGGGCUUGUAGCUCAGUUGGUUAGAGCGCGCGCUUGAUAAGCGUGAGGUCGGAAGUUCAAGUCUUCCCAGGCCCACCACUUUCAUCGAGUGAGCAUUCGUCUUCUGGUUACGGGGCCAUAGCUCAGCUGGGAGAGCGCGUGCUUUGCAAGCAUGAGGUCGUCGGUUCGAUCCCGUCUGGCUCCACCACGCUUCGCCUUUCAGGCUUCGCGUGGCGCAGCCAAGCACGGUCGAAGCGUGCCCGGCGUAGCUCACUUGAGCGUAGACGGGCUGGUUGAGAUCAGCCCGUAACCAUCACCGUCCGCGAAACAUCACUUCGUAUCCUGCUAGUCUGGAUAGACAGCAAGAUGCGUGUUUUCUGACAUCGUAAAGAGGAGAUCGAUCCGAGUUGGGUCGUGCAGCAGAUUGUUGCGCGAAUCCUUCAUUAUCUCCGGAUCAUUUUCGGCGCUCGCUUUCAGCCGUGAGGUUGAAUGCGAGUUGUAAAAUGAUCCUUUUAGCGAAGCUUGACCGCCUCGCUAUCGGAACGAUCUUACGAAGCAAGCUGGUCUUUCUAGUCAAUGUCCGGCUGCACGUAGCAUUCAUCGAGGGUGCGCGCCGUAAGGCAAUCGUGCAGACAACAUUCUGCCGAGUGUGUGGACAUUGAACAAGGUAGCCGUAGGGGAACCUGCGGCUGGAUCACCUCCUUUCUAAGGAUGAUCCCUCAAGGCUGACAUUCAGUCGGUCUUAUCGGAUCUCUUUUGAACAAUAAGGGCCAGUCAGGCCCUGACAUGCGGGACGCUGCCGUCUUCGUUUCUCUUCUCUCACAUCCAAACAUCGGUUGGUCUGGGAUGGUCCCGUCAGGGAUUGUUCUCAUGGCCGACUGGGCCUGUAGCUCAGGUGGUUAGAGCGCACCCCUGAUAAGGGUGAGGUCGGACGUUCGAGUCGUCCCAGGCCCACCAUUAUCGUGCUGCUCGUUUGAGCAAGGGGCCUUAGCUCAGCUGGGAGAGCGGUAGCUUUGCAAGCUUCAGGUCGUCGGUUCGAUCCCGACAGGCUCCACCACGAUGCCUGCUGUUUGGACGUGUCAAUGAGGUUCGCGCCCUGCCCUUUCUCGGGUUUGGUGGCGCGGAUGUUUGAAAUCGUAAAGAGGCAGCAUAUUCGGCAAGCGGGACAACCUAGUUCCCGCGAACCAGCGACGGCCCGCAGCCGUUGUGCCGGAUAUGCUUGGCAAGCAAAACAUGUCUUUUGGAGAAAUCCGAAAGACAGGUCUUUCUUUGACGAUCUUAUGCCGCUGCCGAGCGGACAUGGAUCGUGAGAGUAAUCAAGUGUCGUAAGAGCAUCUGGUGGAUGCCUUGGCGCUGAGAGGCGAUGAAGGACGUGGUACGCUGCGAUAAGCCUUGGGGAGCUGC